UUGCUGGCGACCGGCGCACGGGUGAGUAACACGUAUCCAACCUGCCGAUAACUCGGGGAUAGCCUUUCGAAAGAAAGAUUAAUACCCGAUGGCAUAAUUAGACCGAAUGGUCUUAUUAUUAAAGAAUUUCGGUUAUCGAUGGGGAUGCGUUCCAUUAGGCAGUUGGUGAGGUAACGACUCACCAAACCUUCGAUGGAUAGGGGUUCUGAGAGGAAGGUCCCCCACAUUGGAACUGAGACACGGUCCAA
rnacentral:rRNA from 1 species